rnacentral:tRNA from 1 species
GGGGUCGUAGCUCAGUUGGUAGAGCGCGUCGUUCGCAACGACGAGGUCAGGGGUUCGAUUCCCCUCGGCUCCA